CUACCAGUCUGUUAACCAGGAGGAAGUGGAACUGAGAGAAGGUCAAAUCCAGAUCUAAGAGGAGACGGAGAGAUUCAGGGAGGAGCUAAGAUGUUACUGAACUAUAGAAGAGAGAGGAACUUCUAUAUUCAGCAGAGUUCAAUACACAAACCAUCAACAUUACCUUCAUUCAACAUGCUCUCAUUGGACUGUUAUGGACUUUCUCUACUGUUUGUCACUAUUCUAACAGGUGUCAGCUGUGAAGAACUCACUCCAGUCAAGAAUGAAGAGUCCAGUUUAGAAGACAGCACUGUGACUCUGUCCUACACAUACUCUAAACAACCAACUGGUGGUGAUUAUUUCUUCUGGUAUCGACAAUAUCCAGGAAAACCACCAGAGUUCAUCAUCUCCCAUUCAGGAACUGGAGGAAUAUUGAAUCAUCCAAUCUCUAGACUGAAGAUUAAAGUGGAUCAGAACCAGAAGCAAAUCCAUCUGAACAUCUCCUCUGCUGCAGUGUCAGACUCUGCUGUGUACUACUGUGCUCUGCAGCCCACAGUGACAGGAAACACCAAAACUCUGUACAAAAACCUUUGGAGCAAAGACAACACAAUACUCCACAACGUCCACUAGAGGGCCACAUUAUCCAGUAGGAGGUGCACUACUCGUGCACUGUGUUCAACCAUUCAGUCAAUCACAAGUGCUGCUGUGAAGAGAACAAUUGUCAGACUGAAUGUUGAACAUCAGCUAGUUUCUCCUGUUGAUUUAAACCUUGUUGUAGACAUGGAACAUUGGCUGUGGAUUAUUCUUGCUGCUCUUUUCUUUGGUAAGAUACAAACAACUCCAUGUUGUGAUUCUUUUCUCCAGGUUGAUAGAAAGUGGAGUGUUUGUGUCCACAGAGUAACACUGUCCAGUUGUCUUCUCCUCUCAGCCUCAUCAACAA